rnacentral:rRNA from 1 species
GACGUAGGGCGCGAGCGUUGUCCGGAUUUAUUGGGCGUAAAGAGCUCGUAGGCGGCUUGUUGCGUCAGCUGUGAAAACCCGCAGCUCAACUGCGGGCUUGCAGCUGAUACGGGCAGACUUGAGUACUGCAGGGGAGACUGGAAUUCCUGGUGUAGCGGUGGAAUGCGCAGAUAUCAGGAGGAACACCAGUGGCGAAGGCGGGUCUCUGGGCAGUAACUGACGCUGAGGAGCGAAAGCGUGGGGAGCGAACAGG